rnacentral:rRNA from 1 species
GACGAACGCUGGCGGCGUGCUUAACACAUGCAAGUCGAACGGAAAGGCCCUGCUUUUGUGGGGUGCUCGAGUGGCGAACGGGUGAGUAACACGUGAGUAACCUGCCCUUGACUUUGGUAUAACUUCAGGAAACUGGGGCUAAUACCGGAUAGGAGCUCCUGCUGCAUGGUGUGGGUUGGAAAGUUUCGGCGGUUGGGGAUGGACUCGCGGCUUAUCAGCUUGUUGGUGGGGUAGUGGCUUACCAAGGCUUUGACGGGUAGCCGGCCUGAGAGGGUGACCGGCCAAAUUGGGACUGAGAUACGGCACAGACUACUACGGGAGGCAGCAGUGGGGAAUAUUGCACAAUGGGCGGAAGCCUGAUGCAGCAACGCCGCGUGCGGGAUGACGGCCUUCGGGUUGUAAACCGCUUUCGCCUGUGACGAAGCGUGAGUGACGGUAAUGGGUAAAGAAGCACCGGCUAACUACGUG